AUGAACGCUAGCGGCAGGCCUAACACAUGCAAGUCGAGGGGCAGCACGGGUAGCAAUACUUGGUGGCGACCGGCGCACGGGUGAGUAACGCGUAUGCAACCUACCUUUUACCGGGGGAUAGCUCAGUGAAAACUGGAUUAAUACCCCAUAACACAGGGAUACCGCAUGGUAAUAUUUGUUAAAGCUCCGGCGGUAAAAGAUGGGCAUGCGUGACAUUAGCUAGUUGGUAGGGUAACGGCCUACCAAGGCGACGAUGUCUAAGGGGUCUGAGAGGAUGAUCCCUCACACUGGUACUGAGACACGGACCAGACUCCUACGGGAGGCAGCAGUGAGGAAUAUUGGUCAAUGGGGGCAACCCUGAACCAGCCAUGCCGCGUGAAGGAAGACGGUUCUAAGAAUUGUAAACUUCUUUUGUACGGGGGUAAAGACAGAUACGUGUAUUUGUUUGAAAGUACUGUACGAAUAAGCAUCGGCUAACUCCGUGCCAGCAGCCGCGGUAAUACGGAGGAUGCGAGCGUUAUCCGGAUUUAUUGGGUUUAAAGGGUGCGUAGGCGGAUUUAUAAGUCAGCGGUGAAAGACUGUCGCUCAACGAUAGCAUUGCCAUUGAUACUGUAGAUCUUGAGUAUAUUUGAGGUAGGCGGAAUGUGUAGUGUAGCGGUGAAAUGCUUAGAUAUUACACAGAACACCAAUUGCGAAGGCAGCUUACUAAACUAUAACUGACGCUGAGGCACGAAAGCGUGGGGAUCAAACAGGAUUAGAUACCCUGGUAGUCCACGCCGUAAACGAUGAUCACUGGAUGUUUGCGAUACACAGCAAGCAUCUGAGUAAAAGCAUUAAGUGAUCCACCUGGGGAGUACGUCGGCAACGAUGAAACUCAAAGGAAUUGACGGGGGCCCGCACAAGCGGAGGAACAUGUGGUUUAAUUCGAUGAUACGCGAGGAACCUUACCUGGGCUCGAACGCGGAGGGAAUGUAGGUGAAAGCUUACAGCUAGCAAUAGCCGUCUGCGAGGUGCUGCAUGGUUGUCGUCAGCUCGUGCCGUGAGGUGUCGGCUUAAGUGCCAUAACGAGCGCAACCCUUAUCAUUAGUUGCCAGCGGGUUAAGCCGGGGACUCUAAUGAAACUGCCAGCGUAAGCUGUGAGGAAGGCGGGGAUGACGUCAAAUCAGCACGGCCCUUACGUCCAGGGCUACACACGUGUUACAAUGGAUAGUACAGAGGGCAGCUACACCGCGAGGUGAUGCUAAUCUCCAAAGCUAUUCUCAGUUCGGAUUGGAGUCUGCAACUCGACUCCAUGAAGCUGGAUUCGCUAGUAAUCGCGCAUCAGCCACGGCGCGGUGAAUACGUUCCCGGGCCUUGUACACACCGCCCGUCAAGCCAUGGGAGCUGGGGGUACCUGAAGUCUGCAACCGUAAGGAGCGGCCUAGGGUAAAACUGGUGACUGGGGCU
rnacentral:rRNA from 1 species